rnacentral:rRNA from 1 species
AAUAGAUACCCGGGUAGUCCACGCCGUAAACGAUGAAUACUAGGUGUGGGGGUUGUCAUGACCUCCGUGCCGCCGCUAACGCAUUAAGUAUUCCGCCUGGGGAGUACGGUCGCAAGAUUAAAACUCAAAGGAAUUGACGGGGGCCCGCACAAGCAGCGGAGCAUGUGGUUUAAUUCGAAGCAACGCGAAGAACCUUACCUAGACUUGACAUCUCCUGAAUUACUCUGUAAUAGAGGAAGCCCUUCGGGGCAGGAAGACAGGUGGUGCAUGGUUGUCGUCAGCUCGUGUCGUGAGAUGUUGGGUUAAGUCCCGCAACGAGCGCAACCCUUAUUGUUAGUUGCUACCAUUUAGUUGAGCACUCUAGCGAGACUGCCCGGGUUAACCGGGAGGAAGGUGGGGAUGACGUCAAAUCAGUCAUGCCCCUUAUGUCUAGGGCUACACACGUGCUACAAUGGCUGGUACAGAGAGAUGCAAUACCGUGAGGUGGAGCCAAACGUUUAAAACCAGUCUCAGUUCGGAUUGUAGGCUGAAACUCGCCUAC